UACAGAGGGUGCGAGCGUUACUCGGAAUUACUGGGCGUAAAGCGUGCGUAGGCGGCUCUCUAAGUCGGGUGUGAAAGCCCCGGGCUCAACCUGGGAAUUGCAUUCGAGACUGAAUAGCUAGGGUACGGUAGAGGGAAGCGGAAUUUCCGGUGUAGCGGUGAAAUGCGUAGAUAUCGGAAGGAACAUCAGUGGCGAAAGCGGCUUCCUGGACCAGUACCGACGUUCAGGCACGAAAGCGUGGGGAGCAAACAGG
rnacentral:rRNA from 1 species